UACGAAGGGGCUAGCGUUGUUCGGAAUUACUGGGCGUAAAGCGCACGUAGGCGGACAUUUAAGUCAGGGGUGAAAUCCCAGAGCUCAACUCUGGAACUGCCUUUGAUACUGGGUGUCUUGAGUAUGGAAGAGGUGAGUGGAAUUCCGAGUGUAGAGGUGAAAUUCGUAGAUAUUCGGAGGAACACCAGUGGCGAAGGCGGCUCACUGGUCCAUUACUGACGCUGAGGUGCGAAAGCGUGGGGAGCAAACAGG
rnacentral:rRNA from 1 species